rnacentral:rRNA from 1 species
AUCCUGGCUCAGAUUGAACGCUGGCGGCAUGCCUUACACAUGCAAGUCGAACGGCAGCACAGAGGAGCUUGCUCCUUGGGUGGCGAGUGGCGGACGGGUGAGGAAUACAUCGGAAUCUACUCUGUCGUGGGGGAUAACGUAGGGAAACUUACGCUAAUACCGCAUACGACCUACGGGUGAAAGCAGGGGAUCUUCGGACCUUGCGCGAUUGAAUGAGCCGAUGUCGGAUUAGCUAGUUGGCGGGGUAAAGGCCCACCAAGGCGACGAUCCGUAGCUGGUCUGAGAGGAUGAUCAGCCACACUGGAACUGAGACACGGUCCAGACUCCUACGGGAGGCAGCAGUGGGGAAUAUUGGACAAUGGGCGCAAGCCUGAUCCAGCCAUACCGCGUGGGUGAAGAAGGCCUUCGGGUUGUAAAGCCCUUUUGUUGGGAAAGAAAUCCAGCUGGCUAAUACCCGGUUGGGAUGACGGUACCCAAAGAAUAAGCACCGGCUAACUUCGUGCCAGCAGCCGCGGUAAUACGAAGGGUGCAAGCGUUACUCGGAAUUACUGGGCGUAAAGCGUGCGUAGGUGGUCGUUUAAGUCCGUUGUGAAAGCCCUGGGCUCAACCUGGGAACUGCAGUGGAUACUGGGCGACUAGAGUGUGGUAGAGGGUAGCGGAAUUCCUGGUGUAGCAGUGAAAUGCGUAGAGAUCAGGAGGAACAUCCAUGGCGAAGGCAGCUACCUGGACCAACACUGACACUGAGGCACGA